GCCUGGGUGGCUCAGUUGGUUAAGCGUCUGACUUCGGCUCAGGUCAUGAUCUUCCUAGUAGGUUGGAGCCCUGCCUUGGGUU
rnacentral:tRNA from 1 species